rnacentral:piRNA from 1 species
UGCUUAAAGAUGUUUCUGCCUCUUAUC